GACUUGUUAGAACAACUUUGUAACAAGUCUGAUAAUGCCAUCAAGCUUGUUACAAGUUGUUCACAGCUUGUUCCAAACUUGUUACAACAACUGGGAACAAGCAGUGCGAACACAACUUGUCGACAGCUUGUGAACAGAUUUGUACCAACUUGUCUGCAGACCUGUAACAACUUGUGCGUUUUUAUGUAUGUAGACCGCUGCACCUCCCCUAAAUUUUCCCCACCUCCCCCACUAUUUCCAACAAAAUCCGGCCUUGUUCUUGUCCCGUUUUUGCUCAUCCGUUUGAGUUUAUCUGCUAAUUGUCUUGUCUUUUUGUAACAUAUGUGUUAUGCCAUAUUUAUUGUUUAGUCAUGUAUAGCAGAAUACUCAAUAAAUGUUAUAAAAUUGAACUUGUUAUAUUGUAAAAUUGAAUUUGUUGUACGUAUACACACGUCUGCAACCAACUUUCUACACAGAACUGCAGUGUCCUGUUUUAUCCCUCAAAAACCUAUAUUACGAAAGUCACCGAACUGUGGAAUCGCAUCAAAAAUUCGUAUAUCG
rnacentral:lncRNA from 1 species